UAGCAGCAUGUAAAAGACGGAGCGCAAGUUUACAGUAGCUGAUUUGCAAGUAAAGGGUUCAACCGACGGCAGCACAGAUCGCCAGAUACGACGUCUGUUUCUCAAUCCGAUCAUUCUUAUCUUAGCCUCCAAUGGCAGCAGCUGUGGAAACUUCACCGGUUUUAGAGAUUUUAGUUCGAGAACCGGAUGGAUAUUCAAUCUGGAAUGGGCCUCCAUUCAAUAACAAUAAUCAACCUGGGAUUAAGCUUGAAAAAGUUCCUUGCACUAGUGCCAAGUUUAGUGAGGAUGGUUCGAGGCUUAUGGUGACGAAAAUUGACUGUGCUAUUAGCAUUUAUGAUUCCAGCACCUUGAAAGAGAUUAGAAGUUUUCAGAUCCCUAA